GUCUUUAUAAUUAAAUUAAUAGUUUUUGGAGAAAGUAAUUAAUAUUAAGUAGGUUUUAACGAAUAUUUUAUUUUUUUGGUACUGUGAGGGUAAAAUAAUUAAAGUGAAGGAAUAUGAUUAGUGUACCUUGUGUAUUAGGGGUUAACAAUAAAUGUUUAUAAAUUUAGUCAUCCCGAAUUGUUUUGAGUUAUAAUAAUAAUAUAUUAACGUCUUAAAGUUGAUAAAAAUUUUAUUAUAGAAAUGAAAUGUUAGUCGAAAAAUAGGAUAUCUGGUUACUUAAGAAUAUAAUUUAAUUAUGUGUUUUGUAAGAAUAGAAAUUUUUUAAGGGAUUAGCUUUGAAAAUUUUAAUAUUAUUUUGAUCUUAUUAUUGAUUAGAUGCUUAUAAUCAGCAAUUUCUUUAGAGUUAGUUAUAUAACAUAAAAGUUGUGUUAGGAUUUUUUAUUAAUUUAUUUUAUAUUAAGUAGAAACUGUAAUUAUAAAGUUUAAAUAUAAUGUUUAUAUAAGUAGAUGAAAAUUAAAAUAAUAAGGAAAGUAAAAGUAAAAUUUAAGAAUUCGGCAAUAGGUUAUUCGCCUGUUUAUCAAAAACAUGGUUUCUUGAAGGUGAUGAGAAAUCUGACCUGCCCAAUGAGUAUUAAAUGGCCGCGGUAUUUUGACCGUGCGAAGGUAGCAUAAUCAUUAGUCUUUUAAUUGUAGACUGGAAUGAAUGGUUGGACGUAAUAACAACUUUUUUAUUUUUAAAUAUUGAAUUUCACUUUUUGGUGAAGAGGCUAAAAUGGAACCAAAAGACAAGAAGACCCUAUCAAGUUUUAUUAUAAAUUAUUGUUGAUGAGAGGCAAGUUUAAAAUAGAUGUUAAUUUUGCUGGGGCGGUGAGUUAAAAACUAAUUAAGAUCCAAAAUUUUUGAUUAAUUGAUUAAAUUACUGUAGGGAUAACAGCGUAAUCUUAUUUGAGAGUUCAUAUCGACAAUAAGGGUUGCGACCUCGAUGUUGGAUUAGAAUUCCUUCUUGGAGCAGAGUCUAAGAGUGGUGGUCUGUUCGACCAUUAAAAUUCUACAUGAUCUGAGUUCAGACCGGUGUGAGCCAGGUCGGUUUCUAUCUUUGGUAAAAUAUUAGAGGUUUUUAGUACGAAAGGACCAAAAUUUUUGGAUUAUCCAUAUAAAUAGAAGUAAAUUAAAAGGAAUAUAAAGGUAAAUAUUUUAACUU
rnacentral:rRNA from 1 species